AUUGAACGCUGGCGGCAGGCCUAACACAUGCAAGUCGAGCGGAGCGGCGGACGGGUGAGUAAUGCCUAGGAAUCUGCCUGGAAGUGGGGGAUAACGUCCGGAAAAGGGCGCUAAUACCGCAUACACAUAGAUUAGCAAAGGUCGGAUUAGAUAGUUGGUGGGGUAAAGGCCUACCAAGGCGACGACCCGUAACUGGUCUGAGAGGAUGAUCAGUCACACUGGGACUGUGACACGGUCCAGACUCCUACGGGAGGCAGCGGUGGGGAAUAUUGGGCAAUGGGCGAAAGCCUGAUCCAGCCAUGCCGCGUGUGUGAAGAAGGUCUUCGGAUUGUAAAGCACUUUAAGUUGGGAGGCGUUACCCACAGAAUAAGCACCGGCUAACUUCGUGCCAGCAGCCGCGGUAAUUC
rnacentral:rRNA from 1 species